rnacentral:miRNA from 9 species
GGACUGGAACUUGUGCAAUGCA